rnacentral:rRNA from 1 species
AACGAACGCUGGCGGCAUGCCUAACACAUGCAAGUCGAACGAGACCUUCGGGUCUAGUGGCGCACGGGUGCGUAACGCGUGGGAACCUGCCUUUAGGUUCGGAAUAACUCAGAGAAAUUUGAGCUAAUACCGGAUAAUGUCUUCGGACCAAAGAUUUAUCGCCUUUAGAUGGGCCCGCGUAAGAUUAGCUAGUUGGUGGGGUAAAGGCCUACCAAGGCGACGAUCUUUAGCUGGUCUGAGAGGAUGAUCAGCCACACUGGGACUGAGACACGGCCCAGACUCCUACGGGAGGCAGCAGUGGGGAAUAUUGGACAAUGGGCGAAAGCCUGAUCCAGCAAUGCCGCGUGAGUGAUGAAGGCCUUAGGGUUGUAAAAGCUCUUUUACCCGAGAUGAUAAUGACAGUAUCGGGAGAAUAAGCUCCGGCUAACUCCGUGCCAGCAGCCGCGGUAAU